AUGCCCCGCCUUUUUCUAUCCCCCACUAGGGUCUUCUGGAUCGGCCCCGAUCCUUCCAGACACUUCCACCCCCCCGCUAUAAAAGGCCGGCGAGCGCCACCAGACCCACCAUCAGCGCUCGCACGCACGCACCCAACAACCCCCGUUCUGGCUGGAUGGUGGCCGGAGCUCGCGGAGGACUCGAGAUAUGCAUGUGGCGGCACCGAGCAUGAGGCAACAACUGCAUUACUUGCGGGGAAGGCGCAAGUAGGACACCUGCAUUACUUGCAAACAAGGCGCAAAAUUAAUAGAAGAUCACCAUACUUGUGGCUUUCUUGCAAGUCAUGCAGUUGCUGCCUCAAGCUUGCUGCCUCCCUUUGCCAAAGCUAUCAGAAAAAACAUAAAGUUCUGUUAGUUUCCCUAAACUUUAAAAACAUAAAGUUCUGUUAG
rnacentral:rRNA from 1 species